rnacentral:rRNA from 1 species
UAGGGAAUAUUGGGCAAUGGGCGAAAGCCUGACCCAGCAACGCCGCGUGUGUGAUGAAGGCCUUCGGGUCGUAAAGCACUUUUCUGGGAGAUGAGAAAGGACAGUAUCCCAGGAAUAAGUCUCGGCUAACUACGUGCCAGCAGCCGCGGUAAAACGUAGGAGGCGAGCGUUAUCCGGAUUCACUGGGCGUAAAGCGCGUGCAGGUGGCGCGGUAAGUUGUGCGUGAAAUCUCCUGGCUCAACUAGGAGAGGUCGUUCAAUACUACCGUGCUUGAGAGCAGAAGAGGAAGAUGGAAUUCCCGGUGUAGUGGUGAAAUGCGUAGAUAUCGGGAGGAACACCAGUGGCGAAGGCGAUCUUCUGGUCUGUUUCUGACACUCAGACGCGACAGCUAGGGUAGUAAACGGGAUUAGAGACCCCGGUAAUCCUAGCCGUAAACGAUGUGAACUUGGCGUUGGUGGGUUAAACUCCAUCAGUGCCGUAGCAAACGCGAUAAG